rnacentral:lncRNA from 1 species
UUGUGAUAUUCUUUUCUUGUAGGCUGUCCAAGUAAUGAUUGGCCUGAUCAACGGUGCUCUGGGACGUAUCUGGCUACUUUUUUAUACCAGACAAUUUGAAGAACUUUCCGUAGAGUAUAAGCCUAUAGCCUUGCUAUCAGGAUACCCAUUUUGGACAUUCUUGUUUUUUAUCAUAUCAGGAGUUUUAACAAUACAAACAGAGAAGAAGCGUUCCCCAAAUUUGGUCUUGACCCUCUUUCGGAGAGCUGGUUUAUGGGAAGGAGAGAACCAACAGACCGUGGAAUGUGAGGAACAAGGGAGAGUCAUCAAGAAAAUUCCGAAUGGAAAAGUACGUUUUGUGACCGUUUACGCUUCCACCACAACAGAUGCCAGUGGAACAGAGAUCCCAGAGCAAAAAGAAGCAAACCUAUCUGAAAGUCAUACACUUAGAAGACACCACCAGAUUCCAAAGGAAGGAGGAGCAAGUGAGUGGACAUCUUUGAGGAGCAAACCCUGGCAAGACCAGAAAGGGGGAACGCAACUGGUGAAGAUCCCCGUGACCCUUGGGGCUAGUCGGGGACAUCAGAGCUUCCCUAUUUCCAGACCUGAGGUCCCGUGGAUCACAAUACAGGGGGAAACUCCUGAGCCGCCCUCAGUGGAUCCUUCACCCACCAGACGAGACUUCAGAAACCCAGCUUGUUCUGGCAAGUGACCUUGACCAAGGAACACAUGUGAAAGCAUGGUCAAAGCGGUAUUGUCGAGUGGUAAGAUGAGGAUUUUAUACACAUAUGUAUAUCCCUGAGGAAAACUAAUAUAAAUACUUACAUAGGAAACUAAAUCCACAUUAGUCUAUGACUGAGAGCUAGCUUUUUGAACCUCAAUAUUGGGAAAAGGGAAAUGAAGACUUUUUGUAGCAUGACAGAAAAACGUUACAAAUUUGGAGAAAAAUAAACAUAACAAAAACUUCCA